rnacentral:rRNA from 1 species
GCCUCUAUAACCCUUUGUGAACAUAACCCUAUAACUGUUGCUUCGGCGGGUAGGGUCUCCGUGACCCUCCCGGCCUCCCGCCCCCGGGCGGGUCGGCGCCCGCCGGAGGAUAACCAAACUCUGAUUUAACGACGUUUCUUCUGAGUGGUACAAGCAAAUAAUCAAAACUUUUAACAACGGAUCUCUUGGUUCUGGCAUCGAUGAAGAACGCAGCGAAAUGCGAUAAGUAAUGUGAAUUGCAGAAUUCAGUGAAUCAUCGAAUCUUUGAACGCACAUUGCGCCCGCCAGCAUUCUGGCGGGCAUGCCUGUUCGAGCGUCAUUUCAACCCUCAAGCUCUGCUUGGUGUUGGGGCCCUACAGCUGAUGUAGGCCCUCAAAGGUAGUGGCGGACCCUCCCGGAGCCUCCUUUGCGUAAUAACUUUACGUCUCGCACUGGGAUCCGGAGGGACUCUUGCCGUAAAACCCCCAAUUUUCCAAAGGUUGACCUCGGAUCAGGUAGGAAUACCCGCUGAACUUAAGCAUAUCAAUAAG